rnacentral:tRNA from 1 species
GGCCUUGUAGUCUAGAGGUACGAUACUUGCUUUGGGUAAUCACAAUUGCAAGUGGCCUGGGUUCGAUUCCCAGCAAGGCCC